GACGAACGCUGGCGGCGUGCUUAACACAUGCAAGUCGAGCGGAGCGGCGAACGGGUGAGUAACGCGUGAGUAACUGCCCCCCUCUCUGGGGUAACAGUUGGAAACGGCUGCUAAUACCGGAUAGUGGGGGAUGACUCGCGUCCUAUCAGCUUGUUGGUGGGGUAGUGGCCGACCAAGGCGACGACGGGUACCCGGCCUGGGAGGGCGACCAGCCACAAGGGGCGAAGCUACGACCCAAUAGCCAACGGUAGGCAGUGGGGGCGAAUAUGGCACAGUGGGGCAGUCCCUGAUGCGGCGGCGCGGGGGCGGAAUGACGGUUUUCGGGUUGUAAACCGCUUUCAGCCAUUACGCGUUAGUGGCAGAAGAAGCACCGGCUAACUACGUGCCAGCAGCCGCGGUAAUAC
rnacentral:rRNA from 1 species